UCCCCUUCUUAAAAUCAUCAAAGUCAUUACUUUUUCCACUAACUAUAGGUAAUAUGUGAGGCAACCCAAAUCAUCACCAAUGUCGAGGCAAAAUGGCCAGGAUCUGUGCAUGAUGCCAGAAUUUUCCGCGAGUCAUUAUUAUGCCAGACAUUUCAGCAGGGACAGUACAAUGGUUACUUGCUGGGGGACAGAGGAUACCCUUGUCUGCCCUAUUUAAUGACACCCUACCCUGAACCUGAGCCUGGACCACAGACACGGUUUAACCUGGCUCACAGCCGAACACGGGCCAAGGUGGAGAUGACUAUAGGGAUCCUCAAAUCUCGGUUUCAGUGUCUGCGUGGGCUCCGGGUUAGUCCAGAGAGGGCAUGCGACAUUAUUGUGGCUUGUGUUGUGCUUCACAAUAUUGCCACUAUAAGAGGAGAGAGCCACCCUCCUUGUAUUGAGGAAGAUGGCCAAGAGGAACACCCACAGAUUUUAGAGGCCAACAGAGACGGAAGACUUUUGAGAGACAGGAUUUGUCAAAAUUACUUUUAUUAGUUUUUUUUGCACUGGUCUGCCAGGCAGUUUAUUUCUUCAUUUCCUGAAAAACAAUAAAAGUAAAAUUCAUUAAAA